ensembl:lncRNA
GCGCGAUGCCGGCUCUGCUCCUCAAGGCCGUUCCUCCCCACAGUCCCCGGCCGCAAAAGGGCUGUUCUUCCCCGCAGUGCCCGGCUCCGAAGCUCCGGCCCCUCCUGGACCCCAUCUUUUCAUCCAGAGCUCCUGCUUUGCCCUUGUGAGGCCUCAGAUCUAUCAGGCAGCAUCCUCAUCCCCUCACAGGCCUUCACCAGGGCAUACCUCACAGAGCUGCUCCCCUCAGGGCUCCCACCUCUAGUUCGGCUGCAGACAUUAUUACUGCAGUUAGCGACCAAGUUUGACAAGAAUGUUCUCUAUACUCUUCGCUCGGGCUAAAGACUGUUCUGAGAAGUCUUUUCUAUUGCACUUUCUAUGCUUAAAAUAUAAAGGUAAAAGAGCAAUCACAAG